rnacentral:rRNA from 1 species
GGUUGCGAUGAUACCAGCACUAAUGCACCGGAUCCUAUCAGAACUCCGCAGUUAAGCGUGUUUGGGCGAGAGUAGUACUAGGAUGGGUGACCCCCUGGGAAGUCCUCGUGUUGCAACCC